GACGAACCGUGCAAACGUUGUUCGGAAUCACUGGGCUUAAAGGGCGCGUAGGCGGGCGGUCAAGUCUGGGGUGAAAUCUUUCGGCUCAACCGGAAAAUUGCCCCGGAUACUGGCCGUCUCGAGGGAGGUAGGGGCAUGUGGAACUUCCGGUGGAGCGGUGAAAUGCGUUGAUAUCGGAAGGAACGCCGGUGGCGAAAGCGACGUGCUGGACCUCUUCUGACGCUGAGGCGCGAAAGCUAGGGGAGCGAAC
rnacentral:rRNA from 1 species